UACAGAGGGUGCGAGCGUUAAUCGGAAUUACUGUGCGUAAAGCGCGCGUAGGCGGCUUUGUAAGUCGGUUGUGAAAUCCCCGGGCUUAACCUGGGAACUGCAUCCGAGACUGCAUGGCUAGAGUAUGGGAGAGGGAAGUGGAAUUUCAGGUGUAGCGGUGAAAUGCGUAGAUAUCUGAAGGAACAUCAGUGGCGAAAGCGACUUCCUGGACCAAUACUGACGCUCAUGUGCGAAAGCGUGGGGAGCAAACAGG
rnacentral:rRNA from 1 species